UAGGAACAACCUGGUUUUCUCUUUUUUCCAGUGUGCAGGCUGUGUACUGCUCAGUGAGGAAUCGAGUGUUAUUCAGGAGGACCAUGCGGGUCAGUCAGGCCUUAAAGGAGAGAAGGGAAACCGGGGUUUGGACUGUACUGGUGCUGGAGUUCCUGGACGA